rnacentral:misc_RNA from 1 species
GAUGAAGAACGUAGCGAAAUGCGAUAAGUAAUGUGAAUUGCAGAAUUCAGUGAAUCAUCGAAUCUUUGAACGCACAUUGCGCCCGCCAGUAUUCUGGCGGGCAUGCCUGUUCGAGCGUCAUUUCAACCAUCAAGCCCCCGGGCUUGUGUUGGGGACCUGCGGCUGCCGCAGGCCCUGAAAAGCAGUGGCGGGCUCGCUGUCACACCGAGCGUAGUAGAUUUUAUCUCGCUCUGGGCGUGCUGCGGGUUCCGGCCGUUAAACCACCCUUUUAACCCAAGGUUGACCUCGGAUCAGGUAGGAAGACCCGCUGAACUUAAGCAUAUCGAUAAGCGGAGGA